GCCUUCUGAGGUUGUGUGGUGUUUUCCUGUAUGGGUUGCAGCCUUCUGAAAGUGUAUGAGGCUACUCUGUGUAUUGUGGCCAACUAAACUGUGACAUAUGCUGUGACAGUCCUUUCUACCAGGAAGCUGAUAGUUUGAAACCCUCGUACACAGACUUGGAAUUAGCUGCAGUUGGUGGGCUGCAGAGUGGAUAUGAGAUCCUGUGAUGGCAGAGCCUUGAGGCGUCAAACCAUGACGUUCCAUGUAAAGCUGGUUGCAGCUUGGAGGAAGGACCAUAGUGACCCCUGUGUCCUGAGACCUGCAAGCCCCAGAACCCCCUAAAUGUUCCACUGAAGGAGGAAACAGCAGCCACUAAAGGUACUGUUCCAGCUGCUCUUCUAGCCUCCACCUUUGCUUCCAGCUGCUCACUCCUAUUAUUUGGGAUGGAAGGACCAUUGAGUGAGGUCAAGGGCCACAAAUGCCUCUGCAGAAGUGCUCCCUCUGCCGUGGGACAGGACAUAAGGCAAAUGGGCAGCCUGAGCAUAAGGAUGACCAUAUCAUAUGAAGAAAAACUGCAACCAGAAAGUCAAUCUACAGCCUUUGGAUGAAUAGCAAGACUGUCAAGAAUAUUGGAAUAUUGUCCGUAUAUACAGUGCCCCCAGGACCUGAAGAGAACAUGAAAAUGGCAAAAUGUCUGGUACCACCAUGUAUUAAAUAUGUGCAGUUGUGCAUUGUCAAGUACCGAAAUAUUAAGUUAUUUUUGUACAAAGUACAAAACUAAACAACUAAAUAAAAUUUUAGAAGUAAAGUGUUUGGUAAGUUUAGACAUGAUUGAUAUGAAGAUGUGGACUUCAAUGUGAUUGCUUUAAAGAUUUGCUUUUGUCAUGGUGGAAAAAGAAAAUAAUAUAUGUUUAUACUAAAUGUGAAUUAUCAUAUAGAGAGUUGUGGUUCACUGAGUGUCCAAAAGCCUUUCUUUUUUCUUUUUUUUGCUGGUACAAAAUCAUGACUGAUGUAAAAAAAAGCACAAAGCAUUCAUUAAAGGGCCGCUUUUCAUUUUACCUUAAAAGAAAAAAGAAUGGGAAAGAACAAUGUGAACGGAGACAGAUGAAGACAGGCAGUGCAAGUAACC